rnacentral:rRNA from 1 species
UACGGGGGGAGCAAGGCGUUGUUCGGAUUUACUGGGCGUAGAGGGCGCGGCAGGCGGUCGUCCAAGUCGCCGUGUGAAAGCCCCCGGCUCAACCUGGGGAGGGUCACGGCGAUACUGGUCGACUCGAAGGCAGGAGAGGGUAGUGGAAUUCCCGGUGUAGUGGUGAAAUGCGUAGAUAUCGGGAGGAACACCAGUGGCGAAAGCACUCUGCUGGGCCGACACUGACACUGAGAGACGAAAGCUAGGGGAGCGAAUGGG